CCCUUAGAUGCUCUGGGCCGCACGCGCGCUACACUGGUCGAUGCAACGAGUUUCUUUCCUUGGCCGACAGGCCUGGGCAAUCUUUGAACAUCGAUCGUGAUCGGGGUAGAUUCUUGUAAUUUUUGAUCUUAAACGAGGAAUUCCUAGUAAACGCAAGUCAUCAGCUUGCAUUGAUUACGUCCCUGCCCUUUGUACACACCGCCCGUCGCACCUACCGAUUGAAUGGUCCGGUGAAAUCUCCGGACUGGCGUGAGUCGGAGCAAUCUGACAAACACCGGAAAGUUGAUUAAACCUUACCAUUUAGAGGAAGGUGAAGUCGUAACA
rnacentral:rRNA from 1 species